AUUGAACGCUGGCGGCAUGCCUAACACAUGCAAGUCGAACGGUUUAUGGGGCUUGCUUCAUAGAUAGUGGCGGACGGGUGAGUAAUAUGUAGGAAUCUGCCUUGAGGUGGGGGAUAACUUGGGGAAACUCAAGCUAAUACCGCGUAAGUCGGGAACGAGAGAGCAGGGGAUCGAAAGACCUUGCGCCUUAAGAUGAGCCUACAUCGGAUUAGCUAGUUGGUGGGGUAAAGGCCUACCAAGGCGAUGAUCCGUAGCUGGUCUGAGAGGAUGACCAGCCACACUGGGACUGAGACACGGCCCAGACUCCUACGGGAGGCAGCAGUGGGGAAUAUUGGACAAUGGGGGAAACCCUGAUCCAGCAAUGCCGCGUGUGUGAAGAAGGCCUUCGGGUUGUAAAGCACUUUCAGUGGGGAAGAAGGGUGUGCGGUCAAUACUCGCAUACUUUGACGUUAUCCACAGAAGAAGCACCGGCUAACGCUGUGCCAGCCGCCGCGGUAA
rnacentral:rRNA from 1 species